AAAAUAAAGAUUACGAAGGCACGAGAAUGUCUAUACAAAAAUUGGUUCCUUGCUUCACGUCUUCAUACAAAAGCUGGCGUUAUAAAUUAAUGGCGGUGAAAAAUUAUUAACUGUUUUCUUCACUGUUUCAAAAUUCUCUAUGUUAUGAAUUUAGAUGUAAUUAUUAACUAUAUAAAUUAAUGAAGGUGAAAAUUUAUUAACUAAUUUAUUUUAUUCACUGUUUCAAAAUUCUCUAUGUUAUGAAUUUAGAUGUAAUUAUUAACUAUAUAAAUUAAUGAAGGUGAAAAAUUAUUAACUAAUUUAUUUUAUUCACUGUUUCAAAAUUCUCUAUGUUAUGAAUUUAGAUGUAAUUAUUAACUAUAUAAAUUAAUGAAGGUGAAAAUUUAUUAACUAAUUUAUUUUAUUCACUUUAAAAAAUCCUGUAUUAUUUUUUUUCGUCCUAGUUACAAAUUCGACUGUUUCAAAAUUUUCUAUGUUAUAAAUUUAGAUGUAAUUAUUAACUAUAUAAAUUAAUGAAGGUGAAAAAUUAUUAACUAAUUUAUUUUAUUCACUGUUUAAAAAAUCCUGUAUUAUUUUUUUUUUCCUAGUUACAAAUUCGAAUGUUUCAAAAUUCUCUACGUUACAAAUUUAAAUGUUUGAAAAUUAUAAACAUUUUUUUUUAUCCUGGUUAUAAAAUCGAAUGUUUCAAAAUUCUCUACGUUACAAAUUUAAAUGUUUGAAAUUAAUGAAGUUUUUUUCUUAUUACAACUUCAAAUGUUUAAAAAUUCUCUAAGUUACAAAUUGAAAUGUUUGAAAAUUAUAAACUAUUUUUGUCCUAGUUACAAAUUCAAUGUUAAAAAAUUAUCUUCUUUUUUUCUGUUACAAAUUUAAAUGUUUGAAAAUGAUAAACUAUUUUUUUUCUACUUACAAAUUCAAAUAUUCCAGAAUGAUCUACGAUACAAAUUAGAAUGUUUAAAAAUUAUCAACUUUUUUCCUUUACAAAUUUAAAAGUUUGAAAAUUAUCAACUAUUUUUGUCCUAGUUACAAAUUUAAAUGUUAAAAAAAUUAAACUAUUUUUUCAUUACAAAUUCAAAAAUAUCUAUGAAUUCUCUGCUAUAUAUUUAUAUAUUUAUUUUUUUUCGUUAUAAAAUUCAAAUAUUCAAAAUUCUCUACUUUUAUUCUGUUACAAAUUUAAAUGUUUCAAAAUUAUAAACUAGAUUUUUCUAGUUACAAAAAAAAAUCUACUUUUCUCAUUACAAAUUCAAAAUGGCUACCAAUUCUCUUCCAUGGUUUUUUUGUUACGAAAUUCAAAUGUUUAAAAAUUAUCUAGUUCAUUUUCAGUUACAAAUUCAAAACAUCUAAUAAUUCUGUACUACAUUUUUUUCAGUUAUAAAUUUCAAAUGUUUAAAAAUUAUUUACUUUUUCCUGUUACAAAAUUUGAAUAUCUUAAAAAUCUUGACUAUUUUUUCGUUACAAAUUCAAAUAUAAACGAAUUCUCAACUUAAUUCAAAUGUUUAAAAAUUAUCUACAUUUUUUCAUCACAAAUUUCUAUUUUUUCGUUACAAAUUCAAAUACCAACGAAUUCUCAACUUACAUUUUUUUCCAUUUCAAAUUCAAAUGAUUAAAAAUUCUUAACUAUUUUAUCAUCACAAAUUCCAAUAACUACAAAAAUUUCCUAACCUUUCCUUAACAAACUCUAGCAUUACAAAACUGUGAACUAUCUCUGUAACAUCGCCUAACAAUCACACGGAGUAGUCAUCAAACAUUUCUCCAAACAUUUUCCUUCAGCCUAUCACAAAUUUCAUUAACAAAAACAAAAAAAUUCUCUAGUCUUCACUGCACAGCCGAAUUAAUACAAGUUAUAUCAAAAAAUCCUUAAGGUAAUUUUCUUUAUCUAUUUUUAUGUCAGUCUAAUAUUUUGGUUCUUUCUAAUAUUACAAAAUCAUCAAAAAUCGUCUAUUAUUUAAACAUUCUCUUAUUAAUUUCUCUAUUCAUUUAUUUUUCUUUUAAUAUUACAAGAUUUCUUCCUUUCAGUGUUAUUAUUAAUUUUUUUCCUAAUAUUACAAAAUCAUAAAAAAAUAGUCUAUUAUUUAAACAUUCUCUUAUUAAUUUCUCUGUUCAUUUAUUUUUCUUUUAAUAUUACAAGAUUUCUUUCUUUGUUAUUAUUUUUUUUUUCUAAUAUUACAAAAUCAUCAAAAAUCGUCUAUUAUUUAAACAUUCUCUUAUUAAUUUCUCUAUUCAUUUAUUUUUCUUUUAAUAUUACAAGAUUUCUUCCUUUCAGUGUUAUUAUU
rnacentral:lncRNA from 1 species